rnacentral:rRNA from 1 species
UUUAAAUGUAAAUUUAAAUUCAUUUAAUUAGUAUUAGUUAUGAUCUUGAAAUUUAAAAAAUUUGGCGGUAUUUUAGUCUAUUCAGAGGAACCUGUUCUAUAAUUGAUAAUCCACGAUUAAUUAUACUUUAUUUAUUAGUUUGUAUAUCGUCGUUAUUAAAUAUUUUAUAAGAAUAAAAAUGUUUAAUUUUUUAAAUAAAAAAAUAUAUCAGAUCAAGGUGCAGUGUAUAUUAAAGAAGAAAUGGGUUACAAUAAAUUUAUUUAUAUGGAUAAAAAUAUGAAAAUUUUUUUGAAAGUGGAUUUGAAAGUAAUAAUAUUAAAAUUAAUUUUAUGAUUUAAGCUCUAAAAUGUGU